AGCGCUUGUUCUUCGAAGGAGCUGUUCAGGAUAUCACAAAUGGGGUUUACAAGGAAGUCGGCAUAGUCUUUAAGCAGCCAGUUUGGCACCUCGUCUGGCCCCGAUGCUUUGCGAGGGUUCAACGUUAGUAAUGCUGAAUAGACUGAAUAAGCAUCAAGCUUUAGUACCUCAGAAUUUUCAUCUAUGGGAGGAAGACAAUCAAGUGGUUGGUAUAUUUGCAUAGGUUCGAGAAGUGCAGUGUUGAUCAGGUCAGUGAUAUCCUUAUUCGAC